rnacentral:rRNA from 1 species
AGAGUUUGAUCCUGGCUCAGGAUGAACGCUAGCGGCAGGCUUAACACAUGCAAGUCGAGGGGCAUCGGGAGGGAAGCUUGCUUCCUUGCCGGCGACCGGCGCACGGGUGAGUAACACGUAUGCAACCUGCCCUCUUCAGGGGGACAACCUUCCGAAAGGGAGGCUAAUCCCGCGUAUAUCGGUUUCGGGCAUCCGAGAUCGAGGAAAGAUUCAUCGGAAGAGGAUGGGCAUGCGGCGCAUUAGCUUGACGCGGGGGUAACGGCCCACCGUGGCGACGAUGCGUAGGGGUUCUGAGAGGAAGGUCCCCCACACUGGUACUGAGACACGGACCAGACUCCUACGGGAGGCAGCAGUGAGGAAUAUUGGUCAAUGGGAGAGAUCCUGAACCAGCCAGGCCGCGUGAGGGAAGACGGCCCUAUGGGUUGUAAACCUCUUUUGUCGGAGAACAAAACCCGGGACGUGUCCCGGACUGCGUGUAUCCGAAGAAAAAGCAUCGGCUAACUCCGUG